rnacentral:lncRNA from 1 species
GAGUUCUGAUUGGUGUAGGAAGAGGUACAAAAGCCAGCCAGAGCGGCCAGUCCUCAGCUUCUACCAUUCCGCAAACUCUUAUCAUCGUCUUAAGCCUCCAUCAGUCAGUCAGUCUCCGGCACUAUGAUCUUCCUUGUGAUGUGAAGAUUUGAAGGAUACUGUCACAAUGGAGGAGCCUCCUUUCUAUCCCAGGAGGCAUGAGGCAGACAGGCCUCAUGAACUUUCUCCGCCCCAGUCAUACGUACGAGGUCACAAGCCGUGGCUGGGGCGGAAAACUAAGAAGGCCCGAUGCCCAACCAGGCGAUCUUCCGACAUCAUGAUGGCGCUUCUGUUCAGUGUCCUUCGACCUCUCCCCACGUGCAAGAAGCGUCUUACUUCGAGUUACACAAAGCAUCACAGAAGCGAUACCUGCCAUUCCAUCAGUGCUCCCAACAUUCUUCGGUCGUUCCAUUCACCCACUCGUCUCGCUGGCCGUUGGAGCAGGCUGUCGCAAUCCCCUGACCAUCGGAAGGUCCCCAGGACCAUACACCACUAACUCUGAUACCCCUACCCGCAGCCCAUCAGCGGGGAGGAAAGAGCCUGGGGGGACAGGGCAAACAUCAUUGAAGGACCAUCAUCAAGCCAAAGCAGAAGAGUACGCACGAAUACCAACAGUUGUACUUUCUGACACACCUUAAUGUCUUAGCUGCUGCUGUACAAAAAAUUCUUGUUACUGGCAGAGAACAAAGUAUUACCACUUGCAUUAUCCUGAACCCACUUUCCAAACACAUUAUCUUGCCACCAUGAUAGAGCCACAUUUCAAAAUUCAGCAAGACUUAAGCAAAAUAUCAAAACAGGAUUCCGGAAGUCAAACUAAAAAUGUUGUCAUCGAUUUCGACCCUUCCAAAAGGAGCACCACUGCUCGCAAAAUGCAAACAUCAAUAAGCCAUCCAUCAACCUUCUCUUCUUCAGAACCUAGCAUUUUAUCUUAUGAAGGGUUCAGUGGAAAAAAGUACUUUCAAUCAAAAUAAAGAAAAGCAUUUAAUUUCAAACAAAGACAUUCCCAUGCAGAAUCCGGAACGUAUUUUCAAACGAACAAUUCAUGAAAAGAUACCCAUAGAAAACACAAACAGUCUAGAGCCCUGUAACAUCUUUGCAGACUGUGGUAUAAUGAACAAGAAAAAGACCAUUUUUUAAGGCUUGUAUAGGUUGCCCUGUGUAAAACUUCAUCCCUACUUUGUUAUCCUCGCUCGUCUAUGUUAGGAUCAUCGGCUGAGAGCUGAUGUUUCCAACAGUUUGAUGACACACAAGAAAGCAAUAGGCAAAAAAACAUCAAAGUUUUCUCUUGUACUUCAACACACGUUCUAAAACACCGUGAAAACAUAUUUCAAUGAUUUUACCUAAAUGUAUUCUUUUCAAGCAAAUGUUUAAGAAUUCUGACUCUCUGUCUUUCUCUGAGUUCAAAACAGAAAAGUCAUAGAAAACAAAAGCGAUGAAUAGAGAAACACUUUAUUAUGAGUGUAAACUAUUGAUCUUCGAAAAGUUUUGUGUGUAUACCCAUCCAUCGAUUGGCUGGAAUAAAUGUACCAACCAUCUAAGACAGCAACAGCAAACUGUUCAUGAAUAUGUAAGAAGCGAAAUACACAAAUAUGUUUAUUAUUCACAGUUUUGGAAUUCAAUGGAUUCAGCUGUUUCAAAUAGUAUUUAACAAAUGAUUCAGCCGUAUAACGUAUUAUUCAUCAACGGUUCAGCUGAAUGAAAUAGUAUUCAUUAUUUAGUACUUAAGAAAGACUUUAGUUGUUGCUCAACAUAUAAUGUUUAUUGUUUACACAUCUCAAUUAUGUACAGGCUGAGAAAGUGGAUGAUGCAGUUUAACAGUAACAGAAACUGUUGUUUUCUUUUCUGAAUACAUUUUUCACAUUAACUUUUAUUUUUUGUAGUAAAACGUAUUAAUAAAAACACAGUCGUCUGUUGAUACUAAGCUGUAACUAAGUCUAACAUUAAACACGUUUGUUUAAA